AUUGAACGCUGGCGGCAGGCCUAACACAUGCAAGUCGAACGGUAACAGGGAUCAGCUUGCUGAUUCGCUGACGAGUGGCGGACGGGUGAGUAAUGUCUGGGAAACUGCCUGAUGGAGGGGGAUAACUACUGGAAACGGUAGCUAAUACCGCAUAACUUCGCAAGACCAAAGAGGGGGACCUUCGGGCCUCUUGCCAUCGGAUGUGCCCAGAUGGGAUUAGCUAGUAGGUGGGGUAACGGCUCACCUAGGCGACGAUCCCUAGCUGGUCUGAGAGGAUGACCAGCCACACUGGAACUGAGACACGGUCCAGACUCCUACGGGAGGCAGCAGUGGGGAAUAUUGCACAAUGGGCGCAAGCCUGAUGCAGCCAUGCCGCGUGUAUGAAGAAGGCCUUCGGGUUGUAAAGUACUUUCAGCGGGGAGGAAGGGAGUAAAGUUAAUACCUUUGCUCAUUGACGUUACCCGCAGAAGAAGCACCGGCUAACUCCGUG
rnacentral:rRNA from 1 species